rnacentral:lncRNA from 1 species
UGAAACACAGUUGGAGUCACGAAUUCCAUCUUCUGGAAUUUCUUUCUAUACACAGGAUCCCACGCUUUCGGCAAUAUAUUCUUCUUCUGGACUUGUUCGAUCUGUUGUUCCUAUUGUCACACAGGUAUGUUUUUGUGUGUAUAAUUCCUGUUUGCAAAGGGGCAAAGGUGAAAUUAGAGAUUUUGAGGUCAAACAAGGAAGAGAAAGAGAGUAAGUGGAGAUCAGAUGGAAAAUUAGAGGCCAGAUGAAAUUGGACAGAACAGGAAUAGGGUAAUUAAGAGAUAGAGAAACAGAGAGAACAAGGAGAGAGAACCAAGUUCAAUACUCCAAACUCUCAGUAAUUCUUAGCCUAAACCUGGUUGAAAGAUAAUCCAUCAAAGUAUCUAUAGGCACAAGCCAGAAAAUCUGAAUAACAUAAACUUAAAUGUCAAAUAAAUCUAUAAGCAGUAAUAAAUAACCCCAAGGUGAUUCUCCAUUAUUUUAAAUGUUAUGUUAAUAGAAAAAGAUGAGAGCAAUAUUACUUUGAGCAUCUUUUUGGUUUCAUUCAUGCCCUACUUGGUCUGAAGGCAAUGCAAUUUGAGUUGCAGGCUUGAAUGUAGAAAAUUUUCUCUGUUAUGCAUAUUCAUCAUUAUGUACUUUCAGGGUUAUCUACACCUAGAGUUUAGUGUCUUCAUUCGAUCUAUAUGUACACAUAUUGCCUUAUGUAUUAUCAGUUCGCUUGAUGUAUACUUGGUAUCAGAUUGCUCAAACAAUGCAAAUACCAUUUUCUUAUGCCGAGGACAUCAUUGGGAUAGGAGGAGCUAAUAUUGCACAUAUUCGCCGCACUAGUGGAGCUGUCAUAACUGUGCAAGAGAGUAGGGGCAUGUCUGAUGAAAUAACUGUGGAAAUUAAAGGUACCUCAACACAGGUUCAAUUGGCUCAACAACUGAUUCAGGUACGAGGCUUUUGAGAUUGACUUAUUAGUUUAGACCCAACAAAAUUGAAUUCUUUGGCCCGCUAUGAGGGCUCUUUUCUUUUGGUAGUUCUCUUUAAAGGGUGUAUGCAUUAGAGAGGUACAUAUGAGGGGUGAUUAAAGUUUUUGGUUCAUGCAGGAAUUUAUGAGCAAUCACAAAGAUCCGGUAACAAGCGGCGACUAUAGAGACUCAAGUUAUAGGUCCUCGUACUCUCAGAUGGGGAGCACAUCUUCACUAUCAACACAACCCUAUGGCGGAUAUGGGGGAUCUUCUUCAAAUGUAGGUGGCUACCCUACUUUUAGGCUUUAAGGUCUUAUUCUAUCUGGGUGAUUUCGGGAUUGAGGUUGAGAUAGAGAAUGGUAGGCAUAGGAGUGCAGGAUCAGUCAGUUUGUGAGUGUUAGAAUAGAAUUUUUGUUGGGGGAGUAUUAUAAGUAAAAUUACUAGAGUUAUCACAUAUUCGUGCUUUCUUCUUCAUUCGAAGUAACGGUGAUACCAUAUGGGAGAAAGAUUGAAGAAAUAGAGUUUCAAUUCAAGCAGUUUGAGGCUGCGUAGAAGAUGAUUGGUAUAAACUAGUGGACACAUGUUUCUUAGUAUUAAGAUUUUUAGCUGAAAUUAUUAAAUACCACUCACUCAGUUAAUCAUUAAUUAGUUUUUUCUUAACAUAUUUGACGAGUUACCAUAAGCAACGCAUGGAUGGAAUUUAAUAUAAUAUUAUUUUUAGGGGAGAAAUUUUAUCCAUUUUUGAAACAAACUAAGUGCAUUCAUCCAAAAUUAUUUUUGCAUGGACCAGAUUUCCUAGACACCUAUCAUGAUAUUUCCAGAUGCGGUUCAUUGGCAUUUCAACAAGUUCAAAUACCACCGCCUACAAAAUCUAUCAUCAAACUUGUCUUCUCUGUCUGCAGCCCAAUUCUCAAGUUUGCAACCUUUUUCUUCUUUACAUAAAUAUAAUAUUUCAGAAUUUUAACAUGUCGUUUUAAAACCGACUUGAUUUAAGAAUUAAGAUACUACAAAGAAAUGGUUUUUUCUAAAAAAAAUUAUAAGGGAAUUGCUAGAGUGCUAUAAAAUGAAAAUUUUAAUAUUUUUUAACAUGGAAAAGUAAAAAAAUCAAAAAAACUUAAAACCGGACAGUGAUUAUCCAGAACUAAAGGCUAUUCUUUGUACAGGAUGACUAUAAUUCACCAUGCCCUGCUUUCUACUUUGCCCAUCCAAUAAGACAAAACUUUCAAAAAUAAGAUAUGAAUCUAUCUUUUUAUGCAAUAUAAAAUUAAUAAUUAAUUCAUUAUACAAAUAAUGAGGUUCAAAAGCAAGCUCGCAUUUUUGGAAUUUAAAUGGAUAACACGAAGACACUUGUUGUUGAAGCAAUAAAGAAAGAAGUAAAAUUGAUGUAUGUAAAAUAUCUUGGAAUGAAGGAAACGCUUCUGACCCUCAUCAACUCAAAAUAUCCUAUACCCAUUUCUUUUAAGAAAAAAAGGAUGACACUUUCUAGAGUCCCACCCAUUCUUUUACUUUGGUAGGAUAAAAAAAAAUUACUUUUCAUCCCUCAUGUACUCUUUCCUUUUUAUGUUUUACUCUUCUAUCCUACCUUUUUAUUAAAUUUUGUUAUUUAUAUAUAGUAUUCUCUAAAGAAGUGUGCUUAUCACCUCUUUCCAUUAGGAUCCAAUACCAUCUACACUUGGAGAUUUGAAAAAGAGGAGUGGGUGGCAGAUUAGGAAAUUUGAAAAAGGGAAUAUCAUAGAAAGAAAGAAAGAAAGGGGCAGAAUUGCAAAGGUGUCAAAAUUACAUAAUAGUUUGGUUGAUAUAAAUAAUCACAACGUUUGCUUAGCAUCUGCCACACAAAAGACGGCAAAAGACACCAAAAAGCCUCUAUCAAUGAUUGAUUACUUCUUACAUAUACUAUAUCUGUAUAUGAAAGAUGUCCAAAACCCUACCUCCUUACCUCGAGACACGUGAAAACGAUUAAAGGGCAUGCCACCUCAGCCCUAGAAAAUCUAGAGUACCCAAUCAGAGGAUGCCAGUGCCAUCUCAGCAGAUAAGACCCUUUUCAAAGAAUUUUGGACAACGUAUGGGGUAGCAUGCCACUUCCACCUUACCCUGCCCAUCUUUACCAUUACAUUACUCAAUUGCCCUUCAUUUUCCCUUUUCAAUUUCAUUCUUCUUCUUUAAAUCUAUGCAACGCAUCAACAAAUCCAAUCCAACCCAACCCUUAUGUUUUCAAAUUGAUUAGUUGUCCAAUAAAUUUUUGUAGCAAGAGUUAAUUUAUAUUUUGUCUUAUCUAUUUAGAAAAUAGAUAUAUUGAUUAUUAUAUGUUAAAUCAUCAAAUAUUUUUAUUUAUUUAUAUCGUUAAAAAUAGACAUGAUUGAUUAAUUUUUAAAAAUAAAAAAUAAAACUUUAAUAAAUAAAAUGUUUACUUUUUAAUCUAAUUAAUUUACCCCUUGAGAAAAUAAGGGUAAUUUUAUGGUUGAAUAGAUUUAAGAAGAAGAGGUCAGAAUGGUAAAAGAGCAAUAUGAAAUAAUUGAACAGUGAAAGUAAAAGGAGAGAGAGAGAGGAAGAGAAGGGGGGAGUGGUCCAGCAAGUGGGAGUGUGUGUCUUUUCCGUUGUUCCGAUGUGAUGUCAUGUGAGAUAGGAUGAUUCUCAUAUCUCAUAAUCAUCUAAUCAAUUUAAUUAAUUUGUGAAUUUUGAAGGGGUAAACAUAGAAGAGAAGAGUGGCCUGCCUGCCGCUGCCAGCCUGCGUAUAUCACUGACACCAUUAAAUUCAACUCCCCCCAAACGGUUCUUUCUCUCUCUUUUAUCUCUUCCUUUUUUCCACCUCGUGACCUACUGACUCUACUCUGCACUCCCUUCUUGUGCUACCCAAAAUCCCUUCUUCUUUUUAUAUAUAUAUAUUUAAAUAUCUCUUCUGUUCAGCUCAAAUUUUAGUAUUUUCGCAGACAUACCUUCCCUCUGUCUAUUGACACUUUUCAUUCCUUUUUUUCUCCAUAAAGCUAGGGUGCCUCUGCAUAUCUGGGUUUUUGUGAAUUUCAUUUUGUUUGGUUGGUCAAAACCAAUAGUAUUUUUAAACUAGGUAAGCUACUAUAUAGCCUUGUUGCUAAAAGAAUUCUUUUGUUUACUUUUAGGGUUGCCGUACCUGUUGGGUUCUUUUAUAUAUAUAUAUAUGUGUGUGUGGGUUUCUUCUUUGUAAUUGCAGUCUUUGUUAUCAAAUUUACAACAAAAAAGCCAAAGAAUUGUUUUAAUUAAUUAUGUAUAUAUAUAUUGUUAGUAGGAGAGACUCUACCAUUUUAUUUCUUAAAAUUGGUUUUGGCAUUUUCCUGGGCUUCUAUAAUAAUACUCCAACCAACCAGCAGGGUUUAGGGUUUUAAUUUGCACUUGUUUUCCAAAUGAGGAAACAGUUUGGGGGUCUGAAAGAAAGGUUAUAGUUUGGGCUACUUUUUCUUUUCUUUAUCUGAUUUGCUAAUACUAGAAUUAUGUUGCAGGUAUGAAAGUAGAGUGAAAGUUGAAAAAUCUCACUGGCGAGAGAUGAGUUCGUCGUGUUUAGGCAGGACGUAUGCUUUAGACCUUGAAAUAAUAAAAUCACCACCCACAUCAACCUCCUCCUCUUCUUCAACUCUCUCCGAUGCCAUCAAUUCCCCACUCGCCAUCUCCACCCGCAAACCCCG